rnacentral:lncRNA from 1 species
UUGGUAUAAAAUUAUUGAAAUGGUUUUGAGAAGACGUUAUGGUGUUCGUUGGUUGAAUUUUUAAUUUUGAGAUUUGAAGACUAUGUUUUUUUUUUAUAACUCGAAGACUAUGUUUUAGGUUGUUUAUUGUUUUUUUACUAAUGAUGUAGGUCGAAGAAGAAAAACCAGAAGUUAUAGAGCUUGGCUGGUUAUAAAAGUCAUUGCUAUCAUAUAUAGAAAUGGUAUUUAUUUGAUGUGUAAUACUAUUAAAUGUAUAUGAUCGGUUUUAUUUGAUGUGAUAUCUAUACUAUUAAAUGUAUAUGAAUUUCAUGGAAACAUAAGUGAUCGCUACGGUCAUCAAU